UGAGGAAUUUUGCGCAAUGGCCGCAAGGCUGACGCAGCAACGCCGCGUGGGUGAAGAAGGCCUUCGGGUCGUAAAGCCCUGUCAGGUGGGAAGAAUGUCCGGGGGGUGAAUAAUCUUCCGGAGUGACGGUACCACCAGAGGAAGCACCGGCUAACUCCGUGCCAGCAGCCGCGGUAAUACGGAGGGUGCAAGCGUUAUUCGGAAUUACUGGGCGUAAAGCGCGUGCAGGCGGGUAUGCAAGUCUGAUGUGAAAGCCCCGGGCUCAACCUGGGAAGUGCAUUGGAAACUGCAUAUCUUGAGUGCUGGAGAGGAAGGGGGAAUUCCCGGUGUAGAGGUGAAAUUCGUAGAGAUCGGGAGGAAUACCAGUGGCGAAGGCGCCCUUCUGGACGGCAACUGACGCUGAGACGCGAAAGCGUGGGGAGCAAACAGGAUUAGGAUACCCUGGUAGUCCACGCUGUAAACGAUGAGCACUAGGUGUAGCGGGUACUCA
rnacentral:rRNA from 1 species